CGAUGUCGGCUCAUCACAUCCUGGGGCUGAAGUCGGUCCCAAGGGUAUGGCUGUUCGCCAUUUAAAGUGGUACGCGAGCUGGGUUCAGAACGUCGUGAGACAGUUCGGUCCCUAUCUGCCGUGGGCGUUGGAUGAUUGAAGGGAGUUGCUCCUAGUACGAGAGGACCGGAGUGAACGAACCUCUGGUGUUCGGGUUGUCACGCCAGUGGCACUGCCCGGUAGCUAAGUUCGGAAUCGAUAACCGCUGAAAGCAUCUAAGCGGGAAGCGAGCCCUGAGAUGAGUCAUCCUUGACCCCUUGAGGGUCCUAAAGGGCCGUUGGAGACCACAACGUUGAUAGGUGGGGUGUGUAAGCGCGGCGACGUGUUGAGCUAACCCAUACUAAUUACCCGUGAGGCUUAACCAUACAACACCCAAGAAGUGUUCU
rnacentral:rRNA from 1 species